CAACCUAUCAACCCGGCUUAUAUUCAAUAAAGUAAAAAUGUACGGAACUUAUCUGAAUUAUGAACUAUUUUAAAUUGACUAUUCAAAAUUUCAAAAUUUUAAUUUUGCUAUUCAACCUUUCAAUUUGUUUGAUAUGAAUAAAUCAAUUGCACUUUGAUUUCAAAAUUUGAAUGCGUCCUUUAUCCUUACAAAUUUAGUUAGUAUAUAUAUAUACUUCAUAUUUCUCACAGCAAUAAUGAUAAUAAAAUUAAAAUUUUGAAAGAUUAUGUAGCUUAUUCAGAACGGACGGUCAAUAAUUCGGAUAAGCUUUGUACAUUUUUAUCAUAAAAGAAAGAAGAAAAAAGAAAAUAAAGAGAGGAAGCAAAUGAUAAAAAAGGCAGAGGAAGAAGGAGAUGAUGGUGAUGAUGAGAUAAAAGGAAGAAGGAAAAAAUAAAAGAAAUAAAGGAAAAUGAAUAAAAUGAAUAAAAAAAAGUCAAAAAAUAAAAGAAACUAAAAAAAAACAGCUGCUAUAAUAAAGACAUAAGAAUAAAAAUAUAAAAAGGAUAAAAAUUAUAAGAAUAAUAAAUUAUAUUUAUAAUAGCAGUAAAAGUUGAAGAUUAAAAUGUCAUAUGUCUCAUAGUUCGAGUCAAAAAUUGCAACUUUAAUAAGCUCAAAGCGUCACAUACCUUAUAAUUUUAGUAAGAAAAUAUAAUCCAUUAAAUUCAAGAACUAAAGUGUCACGUGUUUUAUAGUUUUAGGAUCAAAUGUGUAAUUUGUUCUUUUUAUAUUUUAAUUUUAUUCUAAAUGAAGGUAGAGUUGAGUAUCGAUCGGUUUUGUCACGCGUACGAAUAUGUUAAGCUAUCUAAUAAAUUUUAAUAUUAGAUUUAAAUUAAUGAAUUAUACUUUUACUUUAAAAUUUGAAUAUCUUUUUUAGCUUUACAGAUUUAGUUACUAUGCUCCAUAUAAUCUUCUUAACUAAAUUUAUUAAAAUAAAUAAUUAACUUAAACUUUAUCAAUUUUUUUUAUUUUUCAAUAUAUUAAUCUAUAUGUAAUUGAUUAAUAUUAUCAAACUAAAAUUUAUAUUUAAUAAUGUUAAAUAUUUAUAUAUUUUAAUUUUUUAUAAUAAAAGAGGAAAAAAUUAAAUUGGAUUAAAAAAUAAGUCUAACUUUAUAGUCUAAAUAAAAAAAAAAUACAAUAAAAAAUUUUAAACAAUGGGCCCACUUUUAGUGGACCCCACAUACCCCCAACCCCACCCGUCCCGCUCCCCCUCCUGCUCCCGCCCCACCCGGCACGUGGCCUCCGCCUCUCAAUUCAUGAUAUUUAAUAUUUAAUAUUUAAUAGAUAGAUAAUAACGGACCGUCCUAGAGCAAAUGACAAAGAGCUUAACGGUUUGUAUUCGAGACUCAAUUUCAAAUUCUAGUUGAUUCAUAUUUUUAACUAAAUUUAUUUUUAAAUAAAAUAAACGAAGCGAGUUACGUGCUAUCUAUCUCUCAAAACAGAAAGAAAAAAAAAUAGAUAAUAAAUAAUAAAUAUGUGAGUCCUAUUGAAAUAAAUUAUGAAGAUCGGAGAAU
rnacentral:lncRNA from 1 species